rnacentral:rRNA from 1 species
CGUGUAGGCGGCCUGGUAAGUCAGAUGUGAAAGCCCGGGGCUUAACCCCGGAAGUGCAUUUGAUACUGUCAGGCUUGAGUAUGGGAGAGGGAAGUGGAAUUCCUGGUGUAGAGGUGAAAUUCGUAGAUAUCAGGAGGAACACCGGUGGCGAAGGCGACUUCCUGGACCAAUACUGACGCUGAGGCGCGAAGGCGUGGGGAGCAAACAGGAUUAGAUACCCUGGUAGUCC